CCUACGGGAGGCAGCAGUGAGGAAUAUUGGUCAAUGGACGAGAGUCUGAACCAGCCAAGUAGCGUGAAGGAUGACUGCCCUAUGGGUUGUAAACUUCUUUUAUAUGGGAAUAAAACGUUCCACGUGUGGGAUUUUGUAUGUACCAUAUGAAUAAGGAUCGGCUAACUCCGUUCCAGCAGCCGCGGUAAUACGGAGGGUCCGAGCGUUAUCCGGAUUUAUUGGGUUUAAAGGGAGCGUAGGUGGAUUGUUAAGUCAGUUGUGAAAGUUUGCGGCUCAACCGUAAAAUUGCAGUUGAAACUGGCAGUCUUGAGUACAGUAGAGGUGGGCGGAAUUCGUGGUGUAGCGGUGAAAUGCUUAGAUAUCACGAAGAACUCCGAUUGCGAAGGCAGUUCACUGGACUGCAACUGACACUGAGGCUCGAAAGUAUGGGUAUCAAACAGGAUUAGAUACCCCUGUAGUC
rnacentral:rRNA from 1 species